rnacentral:rRNA from 1 species
AGGGUUUGAUCAUGGCUCAGAGCGAACGCUGGCGGCAGGCCUAACACAUGCAAGUCGAACGAGCCUUCGGGCUAGUGGCGGACGGGUGAGUAACACGUGGGAACGUACCUUUAGGUUCGGAACAACACAGGGAAACUUGUGCUAAUACCGAAUGUGCCCUUCGGGGGAAAGAUUUAUCGCCUUUAGAGCGGCCCGCGUUAGAUUAGCUAGUUGGUGAGGUAAAGGCUCACCAAGGCUACGAUCUAUAGCUGGUCUGAGAGGAUGAUCAGCCACAUUGGGACUGAGACACGGCCCAAACUCCUACGGGAGGCAGCAGUGGGGAAUCUUGCGCAAUGGUCGAAAGACUGACGCAGCCAUGCCGCGUGAAUGAUGAAGGUCUUAGGAUUGUAAAAUUCUUUCAGCAGGGACGAUAAUGACGGUACCUGCAGAAGAAGCCCCGGCUAACUUCGUGCCAGCAGCCGCGGUAAUACGAAGGGGGCUAGCGUUGCUCGGAAUUACUGGGCGUAAAGGGAGCGUAGGCGGGUUAUCAAGUUGGAGGUGAAAGCCCAGGGCUCAACCUUGGAAUUGCCUUCAAAACUGAUAGCCUAGAGUAUGAUAGA